AUAUCCCCUUUUUAUUCUUAGCUUUUGUUAAUAUUUUAGUUUUAUUAUCAUUAAGUUAAUUAUUAUCACUAAGUUAAUCGUUAGGUUCAUAACUAUGCAUUGGUAUUAAAUAAAACUUUUGUUGUUUUUUUCAGUUGUUUUUCUACAAUGGAUAAGAGUAGGAUGACAAAACAUAGAAAUAGUGAUGAUUAUAAAAAUGGAGUCUCACAAUUUCUUGAAUUUGCAUUUUGUAAUGCAUCCUAUAGAGGCAAGAUAUUGUGCCCUUACAUACGUUGUGUUAAUUGUUCGUUAGAAACUUAUGAGGAUGCGAAAAUACACUUGAUAUGUGACGGCUUUCUAAGAGGAUAUACUAGAUGGGUUUGCCACGGAGAGGAACCUUUAUCAUUAACUUCCUCGAUUAAUACCGUCGAUAGUAGUUCAACUUCUCAACCUAUGCAAGAAGUGUCGCCUGUGCAAGAGUAUAAUCCUAUAACCCAAAAUCUUGGAAGGUUGGAUGAUGUACAUGGACUUUUACGUGAUACUGUUGGUCGUAUUGGUGCAACAACUAAUGAAACAGAAAUGCCCAUGAAUGAAUUUGAUGAAAUGGUGGACCCACAACAAGCGACAGUAGAACCUCAUGUGGAACAGCCUAGUCAAGAAGCUAAUUGUCAUAAUCAAGAAUUUCAAAAGUUAUUAAAAGAUGCAAACGAAGAAUUAUAUCCGGGAUGCAAGACAUUUUCAAAACUAUCGUUCAUACUCCAUUUGUUCCACUUAAAGUGUCUAAAUGGGUGGUAAGGAGAGUCGUUUAGCAUGCUACUUGGGUUACUAGUUGAUGCAUUUCCAGAAGGUACUUCAUUACCUCGUUCAUCAUAUGAAGUAAAAAAAAUUAUUAGGGCCUUAGGUCUAAAUUAUGAGAAAAUUCAUUGUUGUCCAAAUGAUUGUAUGUUGUUUCGGGGUGAUAAAGUAGAUCAAGAAGUGUGCGAUGUUUGUGGAUCUUCUCGUUGGAAAAAAAAUAAUGUGGAAAAGGAACAUAUUCCAAACAAUGAAGAAAACACUUUUGGCAUAUCUACCAUACCAAAACAAAGCAGAAAGAUUCCAGCAAAAGUUUUACGAUAUUUUCCUCUUAUACCAAGACUGCAAAGGCUUUAUGCCUCUACAAAAGCGUCAAAAGAUAUGAGAUGGCAUGAGGAAGGUCGUAAGAAGGAUGGGUUGUUAAGACAUCCUGCAGAUGGUGAAGCUUAGAAGGCAUUCGAUGAACGAUUUGUAGAUUUCUCCUUUGAUUCUCGCAAUGUAAGGCUUGCUCUUUGUAGCGAUGGAUUCAACCCCAUUUACAACAAUGAGUACCACUUAUAGUACAUGGCCGGUUGUCUUGAUUACAUAUAAUUUACCUCCUUGGAUUUGUAUGAAACAAUCCUCUUUCAUCUUAUCAAUGAUUAUUCCAGGUGAAAAGAGUCCUGGAAAUGAUAUUGAUAUUUUUAUGCAACCUCUAAUUGAGGAGUUAAAAGAAUUGUGGGAGGGCGUAGAAUCAUAUGAUGCUUCAAAUAAAAAAAAAAUUCAUAUGCGAGCUGCAUUACUGUGGACCAUAAAUAACUUUCCUGCAUACGGAAUGUUGUUUGGUUGGAGUACUAAAGGAAAGUUUGCAUGUCCUUGUUGUGGAGAGCAAACACAUUCUAAAUGGCUACGCCAUGGAGGGAAUCAUUGUUAUAUGGGCCAUCGUCGUUGGUUACCUGAGGGGCAUAUAUUCCGUUCUCAGAAAGAUUUUUUUGACGGUACCGAGGAGGUAAGAUCUGCACCUAUUCGGAUAAAUGGAGUUGAUAUGUUGAGACAAAUGGAUGGCGUGCAAUUCAAAUUUGGUAAACCACCAAAAGAAAAUAAUCAAGGAAUUUAUUUGAAAAGAUCCAAAAGAAAAGGGAAAUGAGAAAUAACAAUGCAACAUCAAGCGUUUCCAUGUCAGAACCUAGCGGUGCUUUGAGGUGGUGGAAAAGAGAAGUAUUUUUUUGAAUUACCAUUUUGGCGAUAUAAUUUAUUGCGUCAUAAUCUAGAUGUGAUGCACAUUGAAAAAAAUGUGUUUGAUAAUUUUAUUGGCAUUUUGUUGAAUCUUGAUAAAAAAACAAAAGACAAUCCAAAAGCGCGACUUGAUUUAGUAGAAAUGGGCAUUAGACCUGAACUACAUCCCGAGUUGCUCGCAAAUGGGAAGACAAGAUUACCUCCAGCUUGUUUUACGAUGUCGAAGAAAGAAAAAAGAAUUCUUUAUCAAGUUCUCAAGGAUAUGAAAGCACCUGAUGGUUAUGCCUCUAAUAUUUCACGAUGUGUGAAUGUUGGUGAGUGUAAAAUUAGUGGUCUUAAGAGUCACGAUUGCCAUAUUUUGAUUGAGAAUCUACUACCAUUGGCAUUAAAAGGUUGUAGCCCAUCAAAGGAAGUGACCUUGAUCGCAAUUGAAUUGGCCAAUUUUUUUAAGUCAUUAUGUUCGAAGGUGCUGGAUGUGAAUGAGCUUGACAACAUACAAUCUCGUAUUAUACUUACACUUUGCCAGAUGGAAAAAAUCUUUUAACCUCAUUCUUUACCAUUAUGGUUCAUUUAAUGGUUCAUUCGGUGGACCGGUACAAUAUAGAUAGGUGUAUUUAUAACACCCCAUACUUUUAAACCUCUUGUUUUGACUUCUAUCUUAUUAAGUUUGGACCUUUUCGUAAUUUUCAAUCUUUGAGGGACUCGGCGGCGUUUUGUUACCUAAUUAGUACCUAACUUAAUUAAUUUUUUCCUAGCCAACCCUCACCCGAUCAAUCCCUCUUUUCCCCUCCCGCACGAUUCUCUCUCUCUCUCCUCCUUCACCGCGUCCGUACGUCUCUGCCACUCCACACAUGCGCGCGCGACGCUAUCCAAUCCCUACCGUCGUCGCCGUUAUCUGUGGCCGCCGCUGCCGCAACCCUUUUGUUUGAUCUCUAUUGGCAAUUUUGGUUCGUCGUCGACGGUACCUCGUCAUCGUUGUCUCCGUCUUUGAAGAGGUUCUUGUUUUUUAAUCUCUUUUAUCUCUUUCACUAAAUCUUGAGAUCAUUCAACCUCCUUGUUCAUGAUUAUAUGAUUGUUCUUGAAUACUUAUCUCUUGAUGAUUGGAAUUAAAACUAUCAAAAUCUUAUUUGCUUUGAUCUAAAUAUGUGUUAUUUGAACUAUCAUUUUAUCUUGUAUCCCUAUCUUAUUUAGUUAUAUAAAUUCUCCAUAUUCUACAUACUUCUUGUAAUGCUCAUUCCAUGUUCAAUAAAAUGCCUGAGUGAGGGCUAACCUUAUUCUUGUUUCUAAUUUCGAUCCCAUCUAAUUGUAAAUUGUCAAUCAAUGUUUCAACAUUUGAAAAUCCUCUUUUCGAGUAUUAGAUCUUUCGUUUAUUAUCUAAAACUUCAUUCAUGUCAUCUUAUUUCUUUGAAAACUUUAAUAUUUGGAACUCAUCAUCCUCUUGAUUGUUAAUUGAGUUUUGUCAAAUUUAUUAUUCUAAAUCUCUUUCGUGCUUCGUCUUAGCCUUUUUGCAUGCAUUUGUAGCCAACAUUGUCUGUCGACCUAUGUGAAUCUAUCCGAAUUCAGAUUUUUGUAUAAACUUGCCUUCUAAAUGUAUAAAUAUUAUUUUUGUAACUUUAUUUUUGAGUAGCUUAUAGAGAAUCGUAUAUCUCUAUUUUAGGUUCCGACGAUUGAUUUUCGUGCAAUUUUCAACUGGAUAACUUAGCUUAGAAGCCGCUUUUGAGGUAAGCGACCGGACACCCGUUAGUUUUUUGUAAAAUAAUUUAGAAAAUACUUUGAUUGUGUGAAAAUCUUUAUUUUGUAGAUUUUAAAAUUAAGGGUUAAGCGUAUAUUAAAUGUUUCUGUAAAUUGAGUUUUAGCUAUGAUUGAAAGAUUCUUUUAACAGAAAAUUUUGAAAUUUAAUAAUCUGUUCUGUAAGUUAGUGACUGGAUAAUUUUAAAUUAUAAUGUCUAUUGGUAUUCUACUAUGCUAAUGUUGGCCAUGUCGACAUGUAUUUUGUUAUAGAAGCGAGCUUUGUCUUUGUAUUGCGCCUUUGGGUGUCUGCACCUAUCCCCGCCUCUGUUUUGUUUGCGUUUUCGAGUGCCUCUGUUUUGUACAUGCACUUUCAGGUGCCUCUGUUCUGUUUGCACCUUCGGAUGCUUCUGUUCUGUUUUCGCAUUCGGAUGCCUCUGGACCUCGCCAACGGAUCAUAUGAUAUAGUACCGAGACUGCUUUGUCGGGCGGGGCUGAGACCGAGUGAACGUUAGACGUAACUAGUUUUGAUUUUAGUCCCUUUUGUUUUUACAUCUAGUAUUUUCAGAUUAUCUAUGAUCGUUUGUUAUCUAUUUUGUUUCGUUAUUUCUUCGUACCCACUUUUGUCACUUAUAGUAUUUUGUAGACCGAAUCUCUCUUGUGAUUCGUAAUAAGCUUUAGUUUUAUAGAUGUUAGAAUUUCGUUUGAUUUUAGUUGAAAUUCAAUUUCUUUAGUCUCAUCUUGUGAUUCUUUGGAUUUAGUGGAAAAAUUGGUAAUCUUCUUUUUGCUAGUUUCCGUCUGAUUCUGUAGCCUUGUAUAUUUGGUAGUUUAGCAAGUAUGCGGUAUCUGUUACGCCUCGGGUUUGGGGCGUGACAGUAUUCAUCGGAGAGGAACUUUGCACGAAUGAAAUCAUAUGUUCGGAAUAGAUCUCAUCCUGAAGAGUCAAUAGCUGAAGGUUAUAUAGCUGAAGAAUGUUUAACCUUCUGUUCAAGAUAUUUAGAUUCAAUUGAAACAAGAUUUAAUCGACCUGUACGGAAUCCUUAUCCACCUAAAAAUGGAACGGAAGGAUUAUAUUUAUUUUCUAUUGCUGGUAUCCCAAUUGGAAAGAUUGAAAAUAUUGUAUUAGAUGAAAAAGCAUGGGUCCAAGCACAUCGUUAUGUACUUCGUCAUUACGAUAA